rnacentral:rRNA from 1 species
GAUGAACGCUAGCGGGAGGCCUAACACAUGCAAGCCGAGCGGUAUUGUUUCUUCGGAAAUGAGAGAGCGGCGUACGGGUGCGUAACACGUGUGCAACCUGCCUUUAUCUGGGGGAUAGCCUUUCGAAAGGAAGAUUAAUACUCCAUAAUAUAUUGAACGGCAUCGUUUAAUAUUGAAAGCUCCGGCGGAUAGAGAUGGGCACGCGCAAGAUUAGCUAGUUGGUGAGGUAACGGCUCACCAAGGUGAUGAUCUUUAGGGGGCCUGAGAGGGUGAUCCCCACACUGGUACUGAGACACGGACCAGACUCCUACGGGAGGCAGCAGUGAGGAAGAUUGGUCAAUGGGUGCAAGCCUGAACCAGCCAUCCCGCGUGAAGGACGACUGCCCUAUGGGUUGUAAACUUCUUUUGUAUAGGGAUAAACCUACCCUCGAGAGGGUAGCUGAAGGUACUAGACGAAUAAGCACCGGCUAACUCCGUG